GAUGAAGAACGCAGCGAAAUGCGAUAAGUAAUGUGAAUCGCAGAAUUCAGUGAAUCAUCGAAUCUUUGAACGCACAUUGCGCCCGUCAGUAUUCUGGCGGGCAUGCCUGUUCGAGCGUCAUUACGCCCCUCAAGUCCCCUGUGGACUUGGUGUUGGGGAUCGGCGAGGCUGGUUUUCCAGCACAGCCGUCCCUUAAAUUAAUUGGCGGUCUCGCCGUGGCCCUCCUCUGCGCAGUAGUAAAACACUCGCAACAGGAGCCCGGCGCGGUCCACUGCCGUAAAACCCCCCAACUUUUUAUAGUUGACCUCGAAUCAGGUAGGACUACCCGCUGAACUUAAGCAUAUCAAUAAGCGGAGGA
rnacentral:misc_RNA from 1 species